UGGGUUGUGGCUCAGUGGUAGAGCACUCACCUACCAUGCCUGAGGCACUGGGUUCAAUUCUCAGCACCACAU
rnacentral:tRNA from 1 species